GAGACGACAAUGGUGGCGACGGUGUAGUAGCCGGAGCGAAGGGGGAAGGUGGGUAUGAUGGAGGGAUGGUGGAUGGAUAGGGUGAUAGGGAAGGUGGGGAAGGUGGGGAUGAAGAUGAUGGAGGUUGGGUGACAGGGGAAUUGGAAUUUGGAGUUGGGGCAUAGGGGUAGGGUGAUUGAGAUGUUGGGGAAGGAGUGUUUGGAGGUGACGGAAUGUAGGGAGGUUGGGAAAUGGGAGAAGGAGUGGUGGAUGGUGGUGUGGAAAUGUAAGAAGGUGGCUGGGAUAUUGGGGAAGGAGUGGUGGAUGGUGGUGUGGAAAUGUAAGGUGGCUGGGAUAUUGGGGAAGGAGUGGUGUUUGGAGGUGAUGGGAUGUAAGGAGGCUGAGAUAUUGGGGAAGGAGUGUUUGGAGGUGAUGGGGUGUAAGGAGGCUGGGAAGUAGGAGAAGGAGUAUUGGGUUGUGGAGGCACAUAAGGUGACUGAGAAAAGGGUGAUGGGGUUAUUGGAACAAAGGGUGGUUGAUGAUGAGGGGAAGGGGUGUUUGGAGGUAGAGGAGCAUGGGGUGGAUGGUUAUUAGGGGAAGGAGCAUAAGUGGGAGAAGGUGUGUUGGGAGGUAUGGGAGCAUAGGGUGGUUGAGCUUUGGGAGGAAAGGGAAGAUUAGUAGGAGGUGAAGGUGCUUCUGGAGGAGUAUAAACAGGGGGAGGAGUUUGAUGAGGUGGAUAAGGAGCUUUUGGAGGAGAAUAUGGAGGAGGCUCUCUCACAGCCAACACCACAAUAAUAAGUUUCUGACCCUUCUCACAAUUAUAAUCUUUUCCACUGAUGAAAUAAAAGGGACCCGAACGAUCAAACUGAAACUGGGAGGCACCAUCCUCAAACUUCUUGAUCGGGUUCUUCUUGUUACAUUUCUCAUAAUCCUCUUUGUUCACCACCAAAACCGAGUCCGAUCC
rnacentral:lncRNA from 1 species